rnacentral:rRNA from 1 species
UACGUAGGGUGCGAGCGUUAAUCGGAAUUACUGGGCGUAAAGCGUGCGCAGGCGGCUUGCCAAGUCAGAUGUGAAAGCCCCGGGCUCAACCCGGGAACGGCGUUUGAAACUGGCAGGCUAGAGUUUGGCAGAGGGGGGUGGAAUUCCACGUGUAGCAGUGAAAUGCGUAGAGAUGUGGAGGAACACCGAUGGCGAAGGCAGCCCCUGGGCCAAAACUGACGCUCAGGCACGAAAGCGUGGGGAGCAAACAGG